GUUGGCCUAGUGGUUAGAGCGUCCGCCUCGGGUGCAGGAGGUUGAGGGUUCAAACCCUGGCCGUCAUACCA